UACAGAGGGUGCAAGCGUUGUUCGGAAUUAUUGGGCGUAAAGGGCGCGUAGGCGGUGCGGUAAGUCUGUAGUGAAAUCUCUGGGCUCAACUCAGAGUCUGCUGCAGAAACUGCCGUGCUUGAGUGUGGGAGAGGUGAGUGGAAUUCCCGGUGUAGCGGUGAAAUGCGUAGAGAUCGGGAGGAAUACCAGAGGCGAAGGCGGCGGACUGGACAGUCACUGACACUCAACUACGAAAGCGUGGGUAGCAAACAGG
rnacentral:rRNA from 1 species